GGCUGGUCCGAAGGUAGUGAGUUAUCUCACUUGAUUAUUCACAGUCAGAUAUGUAUUGAACUUCUUGUUCUACUACUUUCCUCUCUCCUCACUACUGUACUUGACUAGCCUUAA
rnacentral:Y_RNA from 1 species